rnacentral:lncRNA from 1 species
CGAUUAAGGAGCCACUGUUUUUUGAGGAUCGUUACUUGGUUCUUGCCAAUACUAUACUAUUGCAUGUACAACAGGAAAUAUUUAAUACUGUCCUAGAGACAAUACGUUGUUCGAGCAUACCAUGAAACAAGAUUAGAUCCAAGAUAGAUGGCAAAUCCCCCCUGUGGAUCGACAGUUAUCAAGAGAGCCAGCCCAGUCUGCAUCAGAAAAGGCAAGCAUCAGUGAAGCCAAAAUAAGAGGUGAUGUCUGGUCGAGAAAGAGUGAGGCAUUGUGGUGCCUCAAAUGUUUGUCUAUAUUUGACCAGAUCAUCAAAUUGAGGACUAUCGCCAAAGAGCCAACUGUGACUUGGUUUUGACUUAGAGUCUACUGGUUUCGACCUAGAGAGACCGCCUUUAUGAAUAAUUUUAGAGACGUAUUUUUUAUGUGAGAGAAGUAAAUCUGGAUCUUCGGAAACCACCUCGAUGCCUA